UGUGUUAAGUCUAUAUGAAUUAUUAUUUGAGUACAAAAGUUAUGGUGUUAUUUAAAUUUAUAAUGAUUUUAUUUUCUUCAUCUUAACUUAUUCAAUUAUAUAGUAAACAUUGGAUGUUAGCUGUUAUUAGUCUUUGGAACGGAUUGAUGUAUUGGUUAGAUCCAACAGGAGUAGAAAAUGAAGUUCGACCAUUUGCUAAAAAGAUCAUCAAUGAGUAAGUCUUGAAUGACUAUUUAAUAUUUUAUUACUAAUAUACUAUUUUAUUAUUUGCCUAAACUUGUUAUGAACACAUAGGGGAAUUAUCAAAUUUAGCACGUACCAUCGAAAAGAUAUCAAGAAGAUAAAAAAGAAUCCCGAAAUUAGAUGGAAUCAAAUAGAGUGCCCUCGUCAACCGCUUGGUACUCUAGACUGUGGAUAUUAUGUGUGUCGCUACAUGCUUGAGACGGUACAGUUGAGACGACUAGUUAUUCCUGAUAAGUACUAUCAAGGCAUUGGUCCAAACUAUUCUCAGGAGAAAAUUGAUGAACUCAGGGAGUUGUGGAUUACAUAUGUCGGAGAUCAAUACGAAGCACAAACGAUGAAUGAGUUAUAACUUUCUGCCUAAUUUUUUUAGCCUUAAUCCACUUUUGGACAUACAUUAUAUUUUUGGAUUUGGAUAUUCAAUAUCACGUGGAUGUGGCUAUAUAUAGGAUAGAUUUGAUCUUGUUUAUGAUUUAGAUUAAUAUUGAUAUGUAUAUAUAGUAGUUUUUUUUAGAAGUUUAGAUUUAUGAAUAUUAGUUGAAUUAUUUUGUAAUAUAAAGAAUUUUGAAAGUUUGGAAUAUCAAUUCAAUUUAUUGGUUAAGAUCU